GCAGGCCUCCCGUGGACAACAACGCCAGCCCUCCCGAAAUGCAGAGACAAGUGGGAAGCCUUGCAAUGCUUUUUUUGCGUGGGGCACGUGGGUCCGGCCGAAGAAGAGGACGGCACAAUGGAGGGAUUCAAUUAGUGCGUUACAUGCUCCAGUGGGCCUGCACAGCCUUGGGAGAGACCUGACCUCCGAAAAGGAAGAAGAGGAGGAGGAGGAGGAGGAGGGGACCGGCAAAAAGAGAUUGCACCGGGAAAAAUGGAAAAUAAGUGGGAGAAGACAAGAGCAAAGAAAGCGCCAAGUCUCUCCUCCCGUGGAACUUACUUCUCUGGGAUUUUUUUUUUCCUCCUCCUGCAAAGGAAGCCAAUGACGCCAGUGGAAAGCAAUCCAAUGCCUGCGUCCCGGGACCAGACAAAGGAUCUGAAGCCUCUUUCUCGACUCCAUAAGUCUGCUGUGAGCCGCUCUCCGUCCAAAUUGAUUCCAGACAGAAUUCGGGGCAGGAGAAGCCGAGCAGCGCUUUCUGGGGCCGGAGAGAGAGUCUCCCACCGGCAGGUUUUGGGCCGCCGUAAAAAGCCCAGCCUGUUUCGAAUUAGGCCGGCCCGCUCUCUUCCUCCGCACCCCAAUAAAUCUCAGUCUGGAUUUGGGAUUAUUUUGCGGGCGAGGAAUGAGACACAAAGAGGAGGAGAGCCCAAAAGCGCUUCUUUGGUGUGGGAUUUGGGAGAACAAAGGAAGAAGCCCAAGUGAGAAAGAGAUAGGAGGAUGAUGAUGAUGAUGAUGAUAAUGAUAGGUAAAGACUAGAGUCUCCUUUGGGAGAAAUAAAAAGGGCAAUAAUACCAUGUUUCCCCGAAAAUAGGACAGUGUCUUAUAUUAAUUUUUGCUCCCAAAGAUGCGCUAGGUCUUAUUUUCAGGGGAUGUCUUAUUUUUCCAUGAAGAAAAAUUCACAUUUAUUGUUGAACAAAAAAAUUAACAUUUAUUAUAUACUGUGCAGUAGUUGUCAUCACAAACCAGCAUACCCAGACAAACUGUGAAUCCUAUCAAGAAUUUCUUAUUACUACCAAUAUUUCCAUGUACAACAUUCUAUGGUACGCACAUUUACCAAUCCUGCAUGCUCUGGUGUUCUGUUCCUUGGGCAUGCUUCCAAACAAAAACUUUGCUAGGUCUUACUUUCGGGGGAGGCCUUAUAUUUAGCAAUUCAGCAAAAUCUCUACUAGGUCUUAUUUUCUGGGGAUGUCUUAUUUUAGGGGAAACAGGGUAAUAAUAAUAAUAAUAAUAAUGCCCUGGCAGAAUAUGUAAAGCAAAGUGAAGAACCUGCUUUGAUUGAAGUCAAAAAUCAGAAACUCCUCAAAACACAGCAGACAACAAACCAGUACAAGAAAACCGCACUACAAACUAGAGCUGACAGCUGGCACAACAAAACACUGCAUGGAAAGUUCCUUGACAAAAUUGAAGGAAAAGCUGAUAAGGAGAAGACCUGGCUCUGGCUCACGAAUGGGACCCUGAAGAAGGAGACAGAAGGCCUGAUCCUUGCAGCCCAGGAGCAAGACAUCAGGACAAAGGCAAUUAAUAAUAAUAAUAAUAAUAAUAAUAAUAAUAAUAAUAAUAAUAAUAAUAAUGAUGAUGAAGAAGGAGACAGAAGGCCUGAUCCUUGCAGACCAGGAGCAAGCCAUCAGGACAAAGGCAAUUAAUAAUAAUAAUAAUAAUAAUAAUAAUAAUAAUAAUAAUAAUAAUGAUGAUGAAGAAGGAGACAGAAGGCCUGAUCCUUGCAGACCAGGAGCAAGCCAUCAGGACAAAGGCAAUUAAUAAUAAUAAUAAUAAUAAUAAUAAUAAUAAUAAUAAUAAUGAUGAUGAUGAUGAAGAAGGAGACAGAAGGCCUGAUCCUUGCAGACCAGGAGCAAGACAUCAGGACAAAGGCAAUUAAGGCCAAGAUCGAAAAAUCAGCUGAGGACCCAAAAUGCAGACUGUGCAAAGAAACCGAUGAAACCAUGGAUCAUAUCCUCAGCUGCCGUAAGAAAAUUGCAGACAGACUACAAACAGAGGCACAACUAUGUGGCCCAAAUGAUUCAUUGGAACUUAUGCCUCAAGUACCACCUCCCAGCAGCAAAGAACUGGUGGGAUCACAAACCUGCAAAAGUAUUGGAAAAUGAGCACGCAAAGAUACUGUGGGACUUCCGAAUCCAGACUGACAAAAGUUCUGGAACACAACACACCAGACAUCACAGUUGUGGAAAAGAAAAAGGUUUGGAUCAUUGAUGUCGCCAUCCCAGGUGACAGUCGCAUUGACGAAAAACAACAGUAAAAACUCAGCCGCUGUCAGGACCUCAAGACUGAACUUCAAAGACUCUGGCAGAAACCAGUGCAGGUGGUCCCGGUGGUGAUGGGCACAUUGGGUGCCGUGUCAAAAGAUCUCAGCCGGCAUUUGGAAACAAUAGACAUUGACAAAAUUACGAUCUGCCAACUGCAAAAGGCCACCCGACUGGGAUCUGCACGCAUCAUCCGAAAUACAUCACACAGUCCUAGACACUUGGGAAGUGUUUGGCUUGUGGUUUUGUGAUACGAAAUCCAGCAUGUCUAUCUUGUUUGCUGUGACAUAAUAAAAUAAUAAUAAUUCUUCCAUGGACCCCAAAUUUCUGCCCAGAUGUUCCUCAUCUGCCGGCCGGCCCUGCAAGAUGGAUAUCUCUGUUCUUCUCCUUUCUGGGCCGAGACCCAAAAGGGAUUGGGGGGCCAGGGAGAGGGUCUUGGGGACCGGAGGCUGAGCUUCAUCAUCCAGGACCCCCUCCCGCCCCUCUGACCGGCUCCCUGCCCCGCAGGAGGGUCGCGCCUGCACUAGACCGGAUGAUCAAAACCAGAUUGUGCCUCCUCUCUCUUUUCUCUCCACGGGGCUUUUCUUUUUUGUAACACUCUUUCCCUUCCGCUUCCCCUUUAUCUCAUAUUUGGGACCCCCCCCCCCCAAAAAAAAGGACCUGGCUUUGUUACCAAUCUCUCACCUUUGUAAAAUCCCAACCUAUAAAACAGCCCCCUUCCCAGUCUUUUAACUGAGGGAAAGUUGUGUUUUUUUCUUUGUGACAACAAGUCCCAACAUCCACAGAGAGUGGGCUUCCUGCUUGAGAAAAGUAACUUGAAUCCUAGCCUUGGAAUGAGAUGAAAGAGUUUGCGAAGAAGGGGGUUCAUCAGAGUAUGGAGGGGAACAACAACAACAACAAUAACAUACGUACGUAUGUCAGGUCCCAGAAUCCACUGACUGAGAUUGUUGGCCCCAUUUGAGGAGGCAACCCCUGGUAGUGAGACCAGGGAGAAGCUUGUUGGCAGAAACCCAGGCAAGUGAUCCGCCUGAGCUGCCCAUUGUGAGUGAGUCCCUGCUGUGGCGAGCAUACCGAUCAGGCCCAAUUGAAAUUAGGCAGCAAGCAAGGUGAUUUUCAGCCAAGGAAGAUUUUAUUAUCUGCAAAUAAGAUGCUAGCUAGUGAUACAUUCACAAAGUAGAUAGCAUCCAGAAUACAGUUUCACAGCCCUUUCUAUACAUAGGCUGCAGCCAAGCCUCUAAUUCUGACCACACAGCCACUGGCCAGCAUGGGCUGGGAACUAAGGAUGAUUAAGUGUCGAUGAAUGGGGUUCUUUGACCCUACCCAGGAAUGCUAUUGUCUUAUGAGAUGAACAUGGCAUGGCCCCUUAAUAGGGCUGGCCUAGCAGUUCCAGAUCCCAGAGAAACAAAACAUCAUAUAUUAAUAUAAUCAUGCAAAAAUGACAGAGGAUGGGUUUGGCUGUAGACAUGCAGAUUUCCUUCUGAUGCGAGAGGUCCUGUUCAUCAAAGGUGCAGUGUGGUGAAAUUGGUUCUUCCCCAAGGAUGGGGAGAGGUGAUCUCCCCCGCCUGAAUAGAAGUAUUGUGUUGCAAUGUCCAGGUAAAGUCCAAGAGACUGGUGAGGCUGGAAAAUGAUGAGGAAAUUCCCAGCUUGGUUUCUUUCCCCCAGGCUAUGCAAUUGUUUGGGAUGCAAGACAUCUUUGGGUUCCGGAACAAAGUUUCCCACAAAGGGAAGGAAUGGGGAUCUCAGGAGCAUAAAACUAGGUUAACACAACAUAUAGGCAAAAUAGGAACACAUAGGAAAAACAUGGAGCAUUUAGGGGAAUUUAUAUACAUGAGAAACAUAGUUUUCCAAAGUACCUUUAACAAGCCAGGCUUCCCAGAGGAAAAAUGGGAAGGAAGGCAGGCAGAGUGGAAGAAAAGGGGAAAAAAAGAGAAAAAAGG